CCCGGUUGUCCUCUCCCCCUUUUUCUCACCAAAAUCUUUUUUGUCCUUGCCUGCGCCUCUGCACCCUUUCUCUGUCCUCCUCGAUUUCCGCGUGGCCGCACAGAGAGGCCGCCAAGGGACGCCGCCGGUCGCUGCCGCGCGCGCAGGUAUUUUUUGUCCGCCCCUGGUUCCCUUUUUUUCGUCCCUCUAAAAACAUCCAUGGCAACUCUUCUUUUUUUCUCACUUUUUUGUGUUUCAGAGAAAAGACCAACGGCGCGCACCGGACGCGCCGCGAGGGCGAGGCGAAAAGAGGAGGAAGCGAAAAGGCUCUAAAAAUGCACAGGAUUACACCAUAAUAGUGAAAAAGGUGACGCCGCA
rnacentral:lncRNA from 1 species